rnacentral:rRNA from 1 species
CGUAGGUGGCAAGCGUUGUCCGGAAUUAUUGGGCGUAAAGCGCGCGCAGGCGGUUCCUUAAGUCUGAUGUGAAAGCCCCCGGCUCAACCGGGGAAGGUCAUUGGAAACUGGGGAACUUGACGUGCAGAAGAGAAGAGCGGAAUUCCACGUGUAGCGGUGAAAUGCGUAGAGAUGUGGAGGAACACCAGUGGCGAAGGCGGCUCUUUGGUCUGUAACUGACGCUGAGGCGCGAAAGCGUGGGGAGCAAACAGGAUUAGAUACCCUGGUAGUCCACGCUGUAAACGAUGACGUGCUAAGUGUUAGAGGGUUUCCGCCCUUUAGUGCUGCAGCUAACGCAUUAAGCACUCCGCCUGGGGAGUACGGCCGCAAGGCUG